CUGCUGCCCUGAUCCAUGAUGAAGGACAUAUGUUAGCUCUGGGUUCCCAGGUGGACCAAGAUUUAAAGGACUUGGAAAAUCAAAUAUCCUUCUUGGAGAACUCCCUAAACUCGUUGGCAGAGAUGAUCCUGCAGAACCAUUGAGGCCUAGACUUGCUCUACCUUAAACAGGGAGAGGUAUUUCAAAUCUAGAAGAGCACUGUGAAAAUUUUGACGAUAUGAAGUUCAUUAGCAUUCAAAUGAUAUUUACUUUUUACGAGGAAAGAAUCGUCAACUGGUAUCCAGAACUGGACUCUAACCUGUGAAUGGCCAAAGCCGAACAAACCAGGCCAGAGACAAGAGUAAGGAAUCAAAUGGCAGUUUAAUUUCAAAGUAAGAGAAAUGGCUUGGAAGUAAGGACUGCACAGGGAGCUGUUGCCCUGACAAUGAGAAAUAACAGCAACAGUGACAAGUUUGAUUCACAGCAGGGGCUUCAUGACCAGAAUACAAUUUGGGGAUUUUUCUGUGGCCGAGAUCAUCCAGAGUGGCAAGGAACUGGAACCUGAGUGGAUAUCCAUCAGUUGGGAAAUGACUAAAUAAGUUAUGAUAGAUGAAUGUAAUGGAAUAUUACUGUUCUAAGAAAUGAUCAGGUGAUGAAAAGAGUUAUCUAAACCCAGAGGGAGGGCUGUGGAUCACCGAGUUUUCACUCUUUUUGUUGUUGUUUGCUUGCAUUUUGUUUUCUUUCUCAUUUUUUUUCCUUUUUGAUCUGAUUUUUCUUGUGCAGUAAGAUAAUUUUAUAAAUAUAUAUAUAUAUAUAUACAUAUUGGAUUUAACAUAUAUUUUUAACAUGUUUAACAUAUAUUAGAUUACUUGCCAUCUGGAGUGGGAGAAGGGAGGGGAAAUUUGGAACACAAGAUUUUGCAAAAGUCAAUGUUGAAAAAUUAUCUGUGCCACCUAGCUGCUCCCCAUGCAUGUUUUGAAAAUAUAUAUAUAUUUUUUGGGGGGAGGGAAGCUUUAGGGGCAGCUGUCAGUGGAUAGAGCACCAGUCCUGAAGUCAGGAGGACCUGAGUUCAAAUCCGGCCUGAGACACUUAACCCUUCCUAGCUGUGUGACCCUGGACAAGUCUCAGCAAAAAAAAAAAAAAAAAAAAAAAAAAGCUUUAAUUAUAAAAAACAAAAAACAUCAGCACGAUGAUUUCAGAAGGGCCUGGUGAGACUUAUGUGAAGUGAGUAGAACCCAAGAGAACACUGUACACAGCAACAUCAAGAUUAUAUGAUGAUCUAUUCUGAUGGACUUGGCUCUUUUUUUUUUUUUUUAAGUUCCAGAAACACUUUAUUAAAAAUGAAGCUGUAAAUGCAUAACAAAAUAACAUAGGUAAUAAAUGUAACAAAAAUAAAAAGACUAGUGUUCAUACAAAAUAAUAACAUAGUAAAAGGCCAAAUGCUUAUCACUGAACAAAAAUGUGUAAACUCUUUUUAAAAAAUCUUGUAAGACAAUUCUAAAGACUAAUAUUUUUCUAAAUAACUGCUUACCUCCACUUUCAUAUGUGUGGGAAAAGGUGAAGAACUUACAGCACAUAUUGAUCAGAGACUGUUAGUUAAAGUAGAUCAAGCCUAUAGGUCUCAGUUUUGGCUUCUCUGGAGUCACGUGAUUUUAGAUGAGGCCUGGACUACAUUCCAUUGUCCAAAGAAGGGAUUAAAAUAUAUAUGUGGCCAAAGAAACUGUAUAUCACCUUGUCUACUACAUUCCACUGACCAACUAAGGGAACAGUAGACUUAUGUGACCAAUCACAGCAUAUAGAGGGCAGGAUUUUGGAGGUUCUUUGUCUGAAAUGUAUAAAAGCUGUAAGCAUUUUCAAGAAUCUGGCCCUAUCCUGCUGUGAAAUUUGGCUCAUAAACCAGGGUCCGCUUCUUGAGAUUCUAAUAAAUAAUUCUGCUUUCUAUGAGUGAUCUCUGAGUAGUCAAUUUGGGUAGGUUUUUUUUGUCCCAAACACAUAUAGUUAAAUUCAGUACCCAAACAUUGAAGAAAUGAUGGUAGUUAUUUUGCUGAAUUUUUUUUUUUAUGUGGACUAACCCUGUUUCAACUUUUACUUAUUCUUUUGAACUUUUUCUAUUCUUCCUUUCAUUUUUUCUAUAAUCAUUUUGACACUUCCUUUGAUAGAGUGGAGAAUUUGGCUUUAUAUGAGUAUUCUAUUUUUAGAUUUAAAGAAAAAAAAAAGAUACAUUAUACAAUACAUAUGUAAAUCUUUUCAACAACGAGGUGAUUCAGGCUAGCUUCAAUGGUCUUGUGAAGGGAGAGAGCCAUCUGCAUUCAGAGAGAGAAUUGUGGGGCCCGAGUGUGGAUCACAAUAUAGCAUUUUCACUCUUUUUGUUGUUUACUUGCAUUUUGUUUUCUUUCUCAUUUUUUUCUUUUUUGUUCUGUUUCUUGUGCAGCAUGAUAAUUGUGGAAAUAUGUACAGAAGAAUUACACGU
rnacentral:lncRNA from 1 species